rnacentral:rRNA from 1 species
CAGCCGCCACGGUAAUACGAAGGGUGCAAGCGUUACUCGGAAUUACUGGGCGUAAAGCGUGCGUAGGUGGUGGUUUAAGUCCGUUGUGAAAGCCCUGGGCUCAACCUGGGAAUUGCAGUGGAUACUGGGUCACUAGAGUGUGGUAGAGGAUAGUGGAAUUUCCGGUGUAGCAGUGAAAUGCGUAGAGAUCGGAAGGAACAUCUGUGGCGAAGGCGACUGACUGGACAAGUAUUGACGCUGAGGUGCGAAAGCGUGGGGAGCAAACAGGAUUAGAUACCCGCGUAGUCCCUGUCUCUUAUAU